GAGUUUGAUCCUGGCUCAGGAUGAACGCUAGCGGCAGGCUUAACACAUGCAAGUCGAGGGGUAAAUAGUAGCAAUACUAUGAGACCGGCAAACGGGUGCGGAACACGUACAGAACCUACCUUUAUCUGGGGCAUAGCCCGGAGAAAUCCGGAUUAACUCCCCAUAGUAUCAGUUGGUGGCAUCAUUGAUUGAUUAAAAAUUUAUUGGAUAAAGAUGGCUGUGCGUCCCAUUAGCUAGUUGGUAGGGUAACGGCCUACCAAGGCGACGAUGGGUAGCUGGUGUGAGAGCACGACCAGCCACACGGGCACUGAGACACGGGCCCGACUCCUACGGGAGGCAGCAGUGAGGAAUAUUGGUCAAUGGACGCAAGUCUGAACCAGCCAUGCCGCGUGAAGGAUGAAGGCCUUCUGGGUUGUAAACUUCUUUUAUGUGGGAAGAAACCCCUUGUUUCUACGAGGGUUGACGGUACCAUAGGAAUAAGCACCGGCUAACUCCGUGCCAGCCGCCGCGGU
rnacentral:rRNA from 1 species